rnacentral:rRNA from 1 species
UGGCUCAGGACGAACGCUGGCGGCGUGCUUAACACAUGCAAGUCGAACGAUGAAACCGCUUCGGUGGUGGAUUAGUGGCGAACGGGUGAGUAACACGUGGGCAAUCUGCCCUUCACUCUGGGACAAGCCCUGGAAACGGGGUCUAAUACCGGAUAAUACUCCUGCCUGCAUGGGUGGGGGUUGAAAGCUCCGGCGGUGAAGGAUGAGCCCGCGGCCUAUCAGCUUGUUGGUGGGGUAAUGGCCUACCAAGGCGACGACGGGUAGCCGGCCUGAGAGGGCGACCGGCCACACUGGGACUGAGACACGGCCCAGACUCCUACGGGAGGCAGCAGUGGGGAAUAUUGCACAAUGGGCGAAAGCCUGAUGCAGCGACGCCGCGUGAGGGAUGACGGCCUUCGGGUUGUAAACCUCUUUCAGCAGGGAAGAAGCG